UUGCUAAGGUUGUCACCAUUUGGAUUUUCUUUUCCACUUUCCCUCAAAGCUUCCAACCGGAGUCUUGCCUGCCAUUCUGGAUACACACUGAGCAAAAACACUGUCCAGUUUCUUGGAGGUCCUGCACCUUUCAAGGGAGUCUCGGGCAAAAGCCCUGCCUGGUAUUCCAGGAUCGGCAACAUCGACGCCUGCGGGUGCCGUAUCCUCCAUGGAGGUGUUGCCUUGCUGACUUUCCCUUUGGGUGAAAACCCUGUCCUUUUUAGGCGGGCGUUGGUAGCGGCUUCCAUCGUUACUUCCCUCCUUGGAGGUUUCGCCUUGAAGGUCUUGCUCCUCUCUCGAUCUGCAGGUGCGUGGACAUACUUUGGCGAAAGAGCAAAGGAGAACUUCUGCAGGAUCAUGGCCAUCACCAACUUUGCUUCUAACAUUGCGAAGUUUUGA
rnacentral:lncRNA from 1 species